AGUGAACGCUGGCGGUAGGCCUAACACAUGCAAGUCGAACGGCAGCACAGUAAGAGCUUGCUCUUACGGGUGGCGAGUGGCGGACGGGUGAGGAAUACAUCGGAAUCUACUUUUUCGUGGGGGAUAACGUAGGGAAACUUACGCUAAUACCGCAUACGACCUACGGGUGAAAGCAGGGGAUUUUCGGACCUUGCGCGAUUGAAUGAGCCGAUGUCGGAUUAGCUAGUUGGCGGGGUAAAGGCCCACCAAGGCGACGAUCCGUAGAUGGUCUGAGAGGAUGAUCAGCCACACUGGAACUGAGACACGGUCCAGACUCCUACGGGAGGCAGCAGUGGGGAAUAUUGGACAAUGGGCGCAAGCCUGAUCCAGCCAUACCGCGUGGGUGAAGAAGGCCUUCGGGUUGUAAAGCCCUUUUGUUGGGAAAGAAAAGCAGCAGGUUAAUACCCCGCUGUUCUGACGGUACCCAAAGAAUAAGCACCGGCUAACUUCGUG
rnacentral:rRNA from 1 species